GCAAGGUUAAAACUCAAAUGAAUUGACGGGGACCCGCACAAGUAGUGGAGCAUGUGGUUUAAUUCGAAGAUACGCGCAGAACCUUACCAACACUUGACAUGUUCGUCGCGACUCUAAGAGAUUAGAGUUUUCGGUUCGGCCGGACGAAACACAGGUGCUGCAUGGCUGUCGUCAGCUCGUGUCGUGAGAUGUUGGGUUAAGUCCCGCAACGAGCGCAACCCUCACUUUUAGUUGCCAUCAUUAAGUUGGGCACUUUGAAAGAACUGCCAGUGAUAAGCUGGAGGAGGGUGGGGAUGACGUCAAGUCCUCAUGGCCCUUACGUGUUGGGCUACACACGUGCUACAAUGGCAUCUACAACAGGAAGCAAAACGGCAACGUUAAGCAAAUCCCGAAAAGAUGCCUCAGUUCGGAUUGCACUCUGCAACUCGAGUGCAUGAAGCUGGAAUUACUAGUAAUCGUGGAUCAGCGUGCCACGGUGAAUGCGUUCCCGGGUCUUGUACACACCGCCCGUCACACCAUGGGAGUUGGUUCUACCUUAAGGCAAGGUUUUAAACCCUUGACCACGGUAUAGUCAGCGACUGGGGUGAAGUCGUAACAAGGUA
rnacentral:rRNA from 1 species